AGGGAGGAAGAGGAGUGAUAGUGUAAGAUCACUGCAUAUAAAAUGUUCAAUUGUGUUUUGUCAAUCCAAACAAAGAAGCCUGUGUGACACGAUCGCUGGUUAAUGGUUGUGCUGAAAAUUUGGAUCUGUAGAGCACAAAAUGCAGUUGCAGGAAAAAAUCAUGCAGGAAGGAAGGCGGAAGCACAACCCUAACCCACAGCAGAGAAGGACAAGCUGACUGAUGAAAUCCAAAGUGGAUUGUAACCACCCCGUGCAAAAUCCUCUCGGACCCUCCACAUCCCGGUCACCAGCUCUUCCAGCUCCUUACCUUAGAUCUUAGAGCACAAGCCAUGGUCUGCAGAGAGCUACCACAGCAUCAGAGGAAUCUCAUUGUUCAAAGGUAUUAAUCAGGAGAACAGGAGAAAAGAAUUUCCAAGACAAUAAAUAUACCAUGGAACACAGUGAAGACAGUCAUCAUCAAACAGAGAAGAUUAGGGACAACAGUGACAUUACUAAGAACCAGACGUCCGGCAGAAAACUGAACUGUUCAAGGAGGCUGCCACGAGGCAAGAAUUUCUCUAUUGGUAGGCUGAGGACCCCACCCAAUCAAUUGAGAGGCGGGGUCGGGCCAAGGAGUCCACCUGAGAGCAGCUCGGUGGACGGGACACGUCCCACGCAGAGGGACCAAGGGCGGUCCACUGGCCCCACUGAGACGCCCAAAAACCAGCCAACCGGAGGAGGCAACAGCGACCCAAUGCCACACC